UACAGAGGUCUCAAGCGUUGUUCGGAUUCAUUGGGCGUAAAGGGCGCGUAGGCGGGCGAUCAAGUCAGGGGUGAAAUCCUCCGGCUCAACCGGAGAACUGCCUUUGAUACUGGUCAUCUCGAGUGAGGUAGGGGCAUGCGGAACUGAUGGUGGAGCGGUGAAAUGUGUUGAUAUCAUCAGGAACUCCGGUGGCGAAAGCGGCGUGCUGGACCUUUACUGACGCUGAUGCGCGAAAGCCAGGGGAGCGAACGGG
rnacentral:rRNA from 1 species